rnacentral:rRNA from 1 species
UACGUAGGGUGCGAGCGUUGUCCGGAAUUACUGGGCGUAAAGAGCUCGUAGGCGGUUUGUCACGUCGUCUGUGAAAUCCCUCGGCUUAACCGGGGGCGUGCAGGCGAUACUGGCAGACUUGAGUACUACAGGGGAGACUGGAAUUCCUGGUGUAGCGGUGAAAUGCGCAGAUAUCAGGAGGAACACCGGUGGCGAAGGCGGGUCUCUGGGUAGUAACUGACGCUGAGGAGCGAAAGCAUGGGUAGCGAACAGG